GAGUGGACGCUGGCGGUAGGCCUAACAUAUGCAAGUCGAACGGCAGCACAGUAAGAGCUUGCUCUUACGGGUGGCGAGUGGCGGACGGGUGAGGAAUACAUCGGAAUCUACUUUUUCGUGGGGGAUAACGUAGGGAAACUUACGCUAAUACCGCAUACGACCUACGGGUGAAAGCAGGGGAUCUUCGGACCUUGCGCGAUUGAAUGAGCCGAUGUCGGAUUAGCUAGUUGGCGGGGUAAAGGCCCACCAAGGCGACGAUCCGUAGCUGGUCUGAGAGGAUGAUCAGCCACACUGGAACUGAGACGCGGUCCAGACUCCUACGGGAGGCAGCAGUGGGGAAUAUUGGACAAUGGGCGCAAGCCUGAUCCAGCCAUACCGCGUGGGUGAAGAAGGCCUUCGGGUUGUAAAGCCCUUUUGUUGGGAAAGAAAAGCAGCAGGUUAAUACCCCGCUGUUCUGACGGUACCCAAAGAAUAAGCACCGGCUAACUUCGUG
rnacentral:rRNA from 1 species